rnacentral:rRNA from 1 species
GGUUAUAAAUUUUGGUGAACCCCCACCCCGCGGGCCCCAAAAUAGGUUUUAAUUUUAAAACUCCCAAACCCAAUUUCUUAAAAUUUUAAAAAUAAAUACCCCCCCCCCCCCCUUAAAAAUUUCGCCAAAAAAUAAAAAUUUCCCCCCAAAAUUUUUUGUGAAAAAAACCCCCCUUUAAUUCUCCUUAACCCAAAAAAAUUUUUUUUUU